GACGAACGCUGGCGGCGUGCUUAACACAUGCAAGUCGAACGGAAAGGCCCCUUCGGUGGUACUCGAGUGGCGAACGGGUGCGUAACACGUGAGUAACCUGCCCUUGACUUCGGGAUAACUUCAGGAAACUGGGGCUAAUACCGGUUAGGAAUCCUUGCUUCAUGGUGGGGGUUGGAAAGCUUCGGCGGUUUUGGAUGUACUGGCGGCUUAUCAGCUUGUUGGUGGGGUAGUGGCUUACCAAGGCUUUGACGGGUAGCCGGCCUGAGAGGCCGACCGGCCACAUUGGGACUGAGAGAAGGCCCAGACAGCGACGGGAGGCAGAAGGGGGGAAGAUUGAACAAUGGGCGGAGGGCGGGUGAAGAAGGGCCGCGGGCGGGAUGACGGCCUUCGGGUUGAAAACCGCUUUCAGCAGGGGAGAAGCUUGUGGUGACGGUACCUGCAGAAGAAGCACCGGCUAACUACGUG
rnacentral:rRNA from 1 species